CAGGGCCGCUGGUGGACACGGUGUCCCGCGUGGUCCGCAGCCCUGCCAUCGGCUCAGACAUCAGUCGCCUCCGCGUGAUCAAGGAGCACUGUCCCGACGACGUGACCUACGACCAGUUGAAGACCUGCCUGGCCGUGAUCGCCCGUUUGUACGGCCUGACCGGUCGCUCGUGCAGCUCGGCCGGCCGCCCCCAGACCGAGCGGGCCGCCGCCCCGCCCGCCAGCCAGCCGACCGGUUCCCCCGAGCGGGCCACGCCCUCAUCGGGCGGCGCCGAGCCGUCGGACGGAGGCUGGCUGUCGGCGCGCGGCCCGGCCACCACCAUCGUGCCUGCACGCCGACUGGAGACCUCGCAAGCACGGCUGACGCGCUACCUGGCGCCGGCGGCAGG